UACGGGGGGGGCAAGCGUUGUCCGGAUUUACUGGGCGUAAAGAGCGCGCAGGCGGUCGAUCAAGUCGCGUGUGAAAGCCCCCGGCUCAACUGGGGAGGGUCACGCGAUACUGAUCGACUCGAAGGCAGGAGAGGGUAGUGGAAUUCCCGGUGUAGUGGUGAAAUGCGUAGAUAUCGGGAGGAACACCAGUGGCGAAGGCGACUACCUGGCCUGUUUCUUGACGCUGAGGCGCGAAAGCUAGGGGAGCAAACGGG
rnacentral:rRNA from 1 species